rnacentral:rRNA from 1 species
UACGAAGGGGGCUAGCGUUGCUCGGAAUCACUGGGCGUAAAGGGUGCGUAGGCGGGUCUUUAAGUCAGAGGUGAAAUCCUGGAGCUCAACUCCAGAACUGCCUUUGAUACUGAGGAUCUUGAGUUCGGGAGAGGUGAGUGGAACUGCGAGUGUAGAGGUGAAAUUCGUAGAUAUUCGCAAGAACACCAGUGGCGAAGGCGGCCCACUGGCCCGAUACUGACGCUGAGGCACGAAAGCGUGGGGAGCAAACAGG